GUGUCAGCAGCCGCGGUAAGACGGAGGGGGCAAGCGUUGUCCGGAAUUAUUGGGCGUAAAGAGCACGUAGGCGGUUUUCUAAGUCUGAUGUGAAAACUCCGGGCUUAACCUGGAGCUUGCAUCAGAAACUGGAUCACUUGAGUUCAGUGGGGGGAAUUGGAAUUCCUAGUGUAGCGGUGAAAUGCGCAGAUAUUAGGAGGAACACCAGUGGCGAAGGCGGAUUCCUAUACUGUAACUGACGCUGAGGUGCGAAAGCUAGGGGAGCAAACAGGAUUAGAUACCCUGGUAGUCCUAGCUGUAAACGAUGGGCACUAGGUGUGGGAAGUUAUCGACUCUUUCCGUGCCGAAGCUAACGCAUUAAGUGCCCCGCCUGGGGAGUACGACCGCAAGGUUAAAACUCAAAUGAAUUGACGGGG
rnacentral:rRNA from 1 species